GUGAGCCAGUACAGGAUGGACCCGCGUCUGAUUAGCUAGUUGGUAAGGUAACGGCUUACCAAGGCGACGAUCAGUAGCCGACCUGAGAGGGUGAUCGGCCACAUUGGAACUGAGACACGGUCCAAACUCCUACGGGAGGCAGCAGUGGGGAAUAUUGCACAAUGGGCGAAAGCCUGAUGCAGCAACGCCGCGUGAGUGAUGAAGGCCUUCGGGUCGUAAAACUCUGUCCUCAAGGAAGAUAAUGACGGUACUUGAGGAGGAAGCCCCGGCUAACUACGUGCCAGCAGCCGCGGUAAUACGUAGGGGGCUAGCGUUAUCCGGAUUUACUGGGCGUAAAGGGUGCGUAGGCGGUCUUUCAAGUCAGGAGUGAAAGGCUACGGCUCAACCGUAGUAAGCUCUUGAAACUGGGAGACUUGAGUGCAGGAGAGGAGAGUGGAAUUCCUAGUGUAGCGGUGAAAUGCGUAGAUAUUAGGAGGAACACCAGUUGCGAAGGCGGCUCUCUGGACUGUAACUGACGCUGAGGCACGAAAGCGUGGGGAGCAAACAGGAUUAGAUACCCUGGUAGUCCACGCUGUAAACGAUGAGUACUAGGUGUCGGGGGUUACCCCCUUCG
rnacentral:rRNA from 1 species